AGUAAAAUCUAACAAGAAAUCAAUUAGAAAUGGAAAAAUAAAAAAAAAUGAAAGGGGUGUGUUGCCAGCGCGCUGAUGUAAUCUGUACGUAGCGGCCGUGCUCACGCGCAGUGGUCCCCGAGCACUGGCGCGUCCCGGACGACCAGACGCUUGCCACACACCACAUACCACUUGUACCAUCACCGUUCAUUUCAAAUUAGAAAAAAAAAGAAGAUGCAUCAUUCAGACACGUGUCGUGAUGCAUGCGGGCUAACCGUCGGGAAUACCUUUUGCUGCUGUCGCGACGGUGUCGGUAUCCGAGUGAAAGUUCUCACCUUCCGAAAUUUAUGGUUACCGAUAGUCAAACAUAUUUUCCCACGGACGAGAAAUAACAAUAAGAAGAAAAACGAAACAGAAUUUGUAUAUAUUUUUUAACGUUUAUCAAAUAUAAAGCUUAUCUCUUUUAA